GGCCAUUCAAGAGUGGACAAAGGUUAUGUAGUUGCUCAAGCUGGUGCUGUCGGGAUGAUUCUUGUUAAUAACAAAGAAAGUGGAGAUGAACUUUUGCCUUACGCACACUUACUUCCUACUUCACAUAUAAGCUAUACCGAUGGUGAAUCACUCAACCAAUACAUCUAGUCUACUAAAAGUCCAAUGGCUUACAUGACUCGUGUGAAGAUUGAGUUGGGAAUCAAACCAGCACCAAUUAUGGUUUCGUUCUCGUCAAGAGGUCCCAGCAUAGUUGAGCCUUCAAUACUCAAGCCUGAUAUAACAGCACCAGGUGUGAAUAUACUAGCGGCUUUCUCUGACGAACUAUCACCAACUGGUUCACCUUUUGAUAAACGUCGGGUUCUAUAUAAUGUAUUAUCAGGCACUUCCAUGUCAUGCUCCCAUAUUUCUGGUAUAGUUGGCCUUCU